CAUUUUCACACAGCUUGAAUGAAAGUUAACUUCUCACUUUAACUCAUCCUCAGUUUUGAUAUGAAGUCAUAUGCAACAGCUCUUGAAAAUGUCCGAAGUUCAGACUCUCAUAAGCUAUAGCAGUGAUUUCUGUGAGUGUGUAUAUUUUUUUCCUCCCCAGGGAGAGUAUAACAUUCUCCUCUUCCUCCGCCUAGACAGUGAGUCAGAGUCUGCUCAGACCAAGGCUGUAGGUUCCCAUGGCUAUGUGCUCACAGUCAGUAAGUCAGGCCACUAGUCAGUCAGUCAGUUAGUUGGUGUGCGUGGGCUGAGGCCCAGCCAGUCCGUCCAGCAAAGAGUGAGGUAAACUCUUCCACGGCAUAGUUCCAUAUUUCCUUCUGAGUCAGGGAAAUGUGCUCGAAGCUACCAGUCAGGACGACCACUGCAGCAUGACGCAGACACUCACCUCACUCAUUCACUCUGUUCUUCUGACCAAACUACUUUAGCAAACCCUUUCACAUCCUAACCCAAACACCAACCUGGUCCAGUGUGGAAGCAAUGUGAGAGCUUUAGACUGCGGUUUCUUUCAUGCUAAUAUUCCUGUGUCUUUUCCCAGGAUGCGCUUGGAAAAAAAGGGGUCAGCUGUUUAAGAUUAUCUCAGGACUAUUUUGAUGAUGUCAGCUGCCGUGUCCUGAGGUGAGGGUGUUAGUGCUGCUCACAAAUACAAGUGGAACAUCUUUCAUUCAAACUUGAUUGGGAGGACGGCUUUUUUCCCCCUCUACUUUUCUAAAGGUUUUCAUCACAUAGUCACAUCUUUCGUCUCUUCAUUCUUGUAGCCAAUGAUGAUGAAGUGCUGUGUCUCUUGUACAGUUUCCACACUUCUUUGUCUUCUGUGUUUUAAGUCUUGUGAGGUCAACAUAACCGCAGCGGCUCAGCCUUUUUUUAGCCACGCACUGCUUGUAUUUUGAAUCUUUGCUGCAUCACAAGUUCCUUGACUUAUUCCUGCGUUUUUGUAGAGAAAAGAAAACACAAAAUGCUCUGCUUCAUGUUCUUCAGGAAGAGUGGAGGGCCUGGAUUUGAAAUCUGAGAGCGUUUUCCUGCUGCGCUUUACAGUGCCAGAGCACUCACUGUAAUUUACCAAAAGUGGCUGCUAUUUAUGCCAUAAAGCAUGUGUUUAACAUUCCUGAACCCCACUGUGUUUGUGUGUUCCUUACUCUCUCACUCACUUGCUCUCUCCCACUCACUCUGCUUCUCUGGCUGUAUUUCUAUUUAUGUGUGUGUGUGGAUAGUGAGUGGAAACGGUCCCCACAGAGCAGCAGCCCUUUCCCUCUUCACAGGAGGAUCAUCUCUCCCCCUCUGAGACAAGGCCGACAGGAAGUAGGAGUUUACAUUGGACGACUUUACCCAAAAAAAGCAGCCUGGGUCGUGGCGCUGCAGAGCUCCAGCACUUUUUCUGCUGCUGCUGCCGCUGCUUCUGCUGCACUUUGCCACCGCCAGCACCAUGUCCCAUCCCCCUAUCAGCUGUUCCACCCAUAGCUGCUCUCCUGGCAACAUUUUCAGGGUGGAGUUGAGUGGCCAGGGACUAUAGAGUGGCCUUCAGAGCAGCAGCAGUUGGGGCUCAUGGCCUGGGAGACAGGAAAGAGCUGUCAGCGUCUCGUAAACAGGACUCAUCCUGCACUCAUGACACACAAAAGCUGGAGAGAGAGAGCUCUCUCCCAGGAAAAGCCCUUAAACGCACAUUAAACCCAAGACUGUGGUUCUCUCUGGUGCCUGUACAUGAUGAAUCCUAAGAAAGAUACUGAAAUACACGGAUCAUUUUCAUGCUUGUGACUAUCACCUGGCUGUAAGAAGACAAUGUCCCGAUACAUUACACUCACUUGAUAGUAAAUUAAUUAUCUGCAGCUGACAAUCCAUUCAAACCAUGUCAAGCUUUUUUGGUAUUUGUGCAAAAUUUAACCCUCAAUAGCUGAGGGAUGUGAAUGGCAGUCAUCUCAGGGAAUGGAAAUAAAGCUAUCAGGAUGUUUUAUGUGUACCAACAGAAAGACUUCACCUUUUUGAUAUCACCUUAUCAGUGAUCCUAUCCUUUCAUCCACACACCAUCUCAUCUGCAGGGUUACUUUUAGUCUUCAUACACCCGAACACCUCUUAAUUUCUGUCACUGGACUGAGUACAUUACUACUUCCCAAAAGUGAUAUUAACUUUUCUUUCUGUGUUUGUUGAGAGUUCAUGUCCCCAAAAGAUCUUGACUGCCAUCUUGUCCUCCUGUAGACGCAGGAAAGUUCAGAGUACUGGUGUAAAUGUCAGAAUACAGAGCUCAUACCUCUCUGCUGAGCUGCAAACAGAACAGAAACACAACUGCUGCAUCUGGUAAACAAGGAGGCCAGCAGCGGUAACACCACAAGUAUGCUUAAUGAUGGAUUUGAUCAGGCUGUUGAGUUGCCCAGAGGCUGGAUUGGAGAAGUGGUUGGGUGGGUUAGGAGAUGGGGGUAGGGGGUGCAUAUUAAAGAGUAAUGAAUCACACACUCAGUCACAGGGUCGCCAGCUAUGAAUGUGCUCUCUGUUGGUUUUCCUGGAGCCUGGAGUUUACUAACUGAUGACGCAGGCUGGACUUGAUCAGAGACAUGUGUUGCUGCGGACUCCAUGCCAGUGAGAAGCAUAGCAAGAGCGAAGAGAAAGGGGGAGAGGUAGAGGGAUGGAUGGUGCCUGAGCUGUGUGUCCUUCUGGGCAUUGACUCACACACGGCCUCGAGGGAUAAGGGAGAGGGAGAGACGAAGGGAGAAAAUAAAUCUGACUUCAACCCUGGGACAGGAAACAGGAGAAUCUCAGAGACUGUCUCGACCCAGCUUUCCUAAAAAUCAAUACUCCCAAAUUCUUGUGUGGCAUUUCAGCAAACGUAAAAAGAAGUCUUUUCCUCUCAACGCAAAAGCAAAGAGAAAUAUUUGCCUUUGUCCUUCACAGACCAAUAAAUAAAGCCGAUUAUAACUCUGAUGUGACUUCUUCUAACGCGACGUAGAAUCGUCUCAGCUCAAAGCAGGAAGUGGUAUUUGGAAACCAACAGGAUACACUGCUUGUAUUUGUGUAUAUGCGCCCUGGCACAAAUGUCAAACAAAUAUCAGCUGAUUCUGGUGACAGUGUCAUUAGCUUAAGGGUUUUUCGUCAGCAACCAAGACAUCAAAUAGAUAACAAUAAUACUGACUGUUUAAUGGGAGGACUAUAAAAACGAAGUGGUCCCCACAGCAAUCUGUGUCAUCCUGAGGUAGACACGAAUGUUUUGCUAAAAAGAACUAAAAAGAUUAAAGCAUGGUGGCAGUAGAGUAGGAGCUGGUAAAUCAGUUAAGUCGUUUGAAUUCCUCCUAUGGUUUCAUUUUGAUUCAUCAGAUUUUUGCUUUGAUAUUUCAGGCUUGACUAAAAUGGUUAAACAGUCGAACAGGAGACUGAGGUUGCCAUCCAUUAAUCCACGCCACCACCAGAGCAGGGAAAUUUAGGCCUGUUAAGCCCAUGCUAAACUCCUCUUCACCUGAGAGCAGAGGAAAUAUCACCUGUUUGCCAAACUGGAAUGCACCUGAGCAUAUUUUCCCAGACAAGGUGCAACGUUGAGCUGUAGCCCAAGGCCUUCACAGAGCAUUACGAAAGAGGUGAUGUAGAUCUUUGCCCACCUGUUAGGACAUGUCAUGGUGUAACUGUAUGUAAACAGCAUCAGGCAGUGCGCUGGGAAACAGAUUUUCUCCCUGCUUAGUGCUUAGUUUUCAGGGUUUUGAUUUGCUGAAACUUAGAAGCUGUGUGUGAAAGGGAGACGACUUAUCCGGGCAAGCUGAAUCAUGCCAAGACCGACUGUGUCGCACACAUGAAUUUGUAUGACAGGAAGAGGACCUGUAAUUGAGUCAUGAUUGUGUCAGUAGCCAGUCAUUUCCAAUAAAAAGCCCUGUUGGUUUACUGAGUAUUCAAACCCCACCACCAUGGGAGGCAGGCAGGAACAGGAGUGUGGUUUGUCAAAGCUGAGGUGUGAGUGCUUCCCAUUUGUUCCAAUGGAGAUCAAAGAAAGUGAAGAAACAAGGCAGCGUGCCACAGGAACAGAUGCACGGCAACAAAACACUGAGAGGAUAGAAAACACCCACAAUCUGCUUCAUGUACAUACACUCAGUUCACUUGACAGAUGACACAGAGUCAUUUAUCACUACACUGGUGUCACACAGCUCAACAUCUCCAGAUACUAACACACACAGAUGUAGGUGAACACAGACGUGCACUCUGACAAUUGUGUUUUUUCUGAGUGGAAGGUUUGUGCAGCAGCUGGUUAUGAUGGAAAACACCCAGCACUCCCACUAACACCCCACAGGCCGUCUCUGUCAUUGUAACACACCCAAUGGCUCCAGAGCUGCAGACCCCAAGCAGAACGAUCUAUUCAUCAGUGGCCCAGCUUUCAAACAACUCCAACCAAACAGAGAACCAGUUGAUUCUGCACAGUCGGUUCCCAAACAAUAGACACAUACACACACACAGUAAGAGAGCACUCCUGCAAUCCCAAAUCUAUGCACGCACACAGACACAUGCACAUAGUCCUGCACAUGUUGAAGCCAUUAUCCUGUUGCUUGUUAAGUCAUUACUCUAUAGCUUGUUAUUUUCCCAAGCAAGAGAAAGCAAUCUAUCCACAAAGGAGUGCUGAGAGAUUUGCCACCCGACUGAGCCAUGGGAUAUGGGAAGUUACCCUGAAAUUUGAGGAAUGUGGUGAAGUCUGAAACCUAAGGAAUAAAGAAAAAACAUCUACUGGAACAGUGGGGCUUCUUUCCUGAAGUCUCCAGCAAGAAGCUGCGGCCAAGACUGUAUGAGAUGUCCACAGGGAGGGAGUAUUAUACACAUUACUGAUGACUGUGCAGAAAAGUUUGAGUCCACCAAUAGAACACGCAGGAACUGACAUAGUCUGAGAGCUUUGACAUAUUCACAGUGGAUCUCAGACAUCUGGUUUCCAUUUCCCUCCUCUCCUAAGACAGUGAGUGCUGGCAGCAGGGCUUUUCAAUGAAAUCGUCUAUUCCACUUCCUGUGCUAUCAGUUUAACAUAAGAGUGUGGACCACAAAGAGUAAUGAAAAUAAUGCUCAACACAUACACACUCACAAAAACGAACUGCGACGUUUUCCUGACUUUUUUUUUCCCCUCUGUUUUUGCUCCCCCACCCCCAAACCUUGACACCAUUAUUAGCAGGAACACCCCUGAGCAGCCAUUUUCACAGCAUCCUCUCCACUCUGCUCCACACUGAGAAAAACCUGUGAGCCAGCACACUCUCACCACACUGCUAAUGAGUGACACAUGCCCCCUAGCUCCGCCGCUGACACCUAAGAUCAAAGCCCUGGAAGAGAAGGGGACUGGUUUAAACAUUAAACCCGGAGACCCUCAUCCCCGUCCGCCUCCUUUUUGACACCCACGCGAUACGUCUGCGGCCGGCCAAAUGGUGACACACACCUGUCCUUUCUACAUUUAACACAAGCAUCACUGCUGUGACCGUCUUGUGCUUUCAUUUACAGGACCAAUGUCAGGGCAGAGUAAUGUGUAUUCCAGCUGUGUAUGAUAAGAGAUCAGAUAACACCACCCUAAAAAGUUGCAUGUCAAUGUGAGUCAUAAAUGAGACAGUUGGAACUAGUCAUCUGCAUUAAAUCCUGAGCAUGGACAGAUUAAGGGAGGAAAUGGAAUUAUGAAAACCUGAUAGCAAACGUCUGGAUCAACACACAAUCUCUUGCCCUGUUAUCCCUGCAGUCCUUUCCAUUAAAUCAAUUGCUUCACCCACCUCCAGCUGAAUGUUGUACGAACUGUUUCCAUGCUGCUGAAGGGCGUCAAGAACAGAGUGGGUAGACAGUAGUGGGAGAGGAGGGGGGCUAGCCAGGGCAAAGGCCGGAAAUCCCAGUGCAGCAUGAACUAUUUUCCUCCAAAGUUCCACCAGAGCAGCUCUUUGUACCAGUCCCCCACCCCCCUCUCUAUCAGGUCUCUGACAACCAUCCACCGCUGUUCUAUGAGGCAACCGCACCACCACCACCACCGCUGCCACCACCAUGAAAUAAAAAACAAUCUAAACCUCCAGCAUGCACUCACACACACACACAUACAUGUAUGCAGUUCACUUGUGGGCCGUUACUCAGCAGCGCUGGGCUUGUGGAGAGGGGAUCAAAAGCUUGGGGUUCCCCUCCAUCUCAGUCCAAAGUCCCAAUGCGGUUAGGCCAUAGACAGAGAGGCACCUUGUUUUACACAGAGCCCCAAAAUGCCAAAAACACUAAGCUCAGAGAUGAGGCACUGAAAACGUUUCCUUCUUUAAGACAUAAAACCAGAAAAAAACGAUCUGCAGCAACUGGUGUGCUUUUUCUGUCUCAUCUUUCUCCUCAACAUUCCUUGGCAAUAAUUCUCAAUUCCCCUCACAGUAUCACUUGAUCACUGUGGAUGCACAUGCUCUUCAUGUGACUCCAAUGUAGAGAUGGCUCUGCAGAGGCGUAUCACAACAAAACUCAAGUCUGUGCGGAAUCCUGAUUUCACAGUGACACACAUUCCACCUCAUUAAGACUGGACAUUUAGAGGAAUGGGAGAAAUCCAGGUCAGUGACACUGGCGAGGGACAGGGAAAGCAAAUACCAGCAUUUGACUCCCUGCCGCAGCACGAUAUCCACUAAAUGUCUGUUUCCAUAUUGCAACAUCAUAUCCAGACACAGCGCUGAUUUGUUGCAGAGCAGGAACCAGGCUUGAGAUUGACUUGGAUUUAUUUUAUGCACCACUGAGACCCCAUGCAAAGACUGAGAGGCCUCCAAGUCAGGCGGGUUUUUUUUCACUGAUGCAAACUCAAGACUGUAGAAGAGGCAAGUGUGAGUGUGAGUGGGUGGGAGUAAGCAAGGCACCUUACAACAGCUGGUCUGAAUUAUCCGUGGGGUCGGGGGUAGUCAGCUUUGGGGAGGUGGAGGGGAGGCGAGGAGACUCCUGGCGCCAGGAUCGGGCCAGCAGGUCAGGGAGGAUGACGAUUACCAAAAUACUAGCAGGCAGCCAUAGCCCUGCAGAGAGGGGGUGUUCCUGGCUCACAGGCUAACAGCUACAGGAUGGGCAGGCAAGUGGACGACUGUGUGUGUGUUUGUGUGUGUGUGUGAGUGAGAAAGAGAGGGACGCUCCUACUUCCACUUCCUGUGAGAUAGCCCCUUCCUGUCAUUGAGAAACGUAGAGAAACACCUUGGUAAUGACCAUAAAGUGGAAUAACUUUUCAAGUGUUUACAAUCAGGCAGUUAGGUCUCAACAAUGAGUCCAGCAUGGGUUUACAGAAAAACAGCACACCAUGAGUUUUAUUUUGUAAAAUGAAGCUUUUGUCUCAGGCAGGCAUAAAACCAGCUGCUUGCAAGGUGCAGUCCACUCACAAGGUUCCUUUUGUGCUUCCUCUGAGACUGGGCUGACCACAUGUGAACAGAUUCCCUAACUGGAAUGUUACAGGACACACACGGGGACUUGGCUCCCUCUGCUGGUGAGCAGCAACACAGCAGAAGACUCUCCUCAACCAAAAAUGUAUUUCAGGAGUGAGCAUGUGUGCGCGUGUGUUUUUGUCUACAGCCAGUACAUAAAUAAAAUAAAAAAAACUCUAGUAAACUUUAUGAGAUGUUUAUCCUCUUGACUGUGUAUGUUUUUUAUCAUUUUUUCUUUAAUAUUGAACCUCAUAUCAACCUAAUGUUACCUGAAACACUAGCUUGCCGUCCCUCCAGUUGAAUAAUGUAAGCUUAAACAAUGAAGUCAAUCCAUAUAUUUCUGUUAACUAUUACUGUUAACUGUCUCUAAGUUAAGCUAAAAAAAAAUGUGUUUACAGAAUUCACAGAGAACUAAGUGUUGACAGGUUCAUGUUUACAUAUUUGUUUAACUGCUUCUCUCUGCAGCUGUUUGUUAGGGUUAGCAGAUUAUGUAGAAUGUGUUUCUGAAGUUCAUUUACAUUUACUUUGAGGUCCUAGCCUCUGAUUGGUAGGUGCCAUGACAUGUGAUCAGGGUAGUCCAGGAUGUUAUGUUUUUGGGUUAUGGUGUGGGGAUGACAAGAUGGCUGAAGAGUGAAAGUGCUGCUAAAAAAGUUAUCUGUCUCCAUCCUGCUGUUUCUCAUCAUUAGAAUUAUCCAACCACCUUACAUCGAACCUUCAUGUUACAAUAAUAUAGCUUUGUGAGCAUCAUUACACCUUACAUGGCCUAUUUUUACUUGGUUCACAGAUGUUGCUGUUUUGCAAAGCUAUAAAUCCUGAACCUAAUUAAAGAUAGCACAAAGACAGUAUACCAAAUGUUGGAAAAGAAAAAUGCUCAUUUUAUGAGGAAAAAAAGUGCAUACUUUAAAUCCAAAACCAUCACCACAUUUCAAAAGCUUGGGACACGAGCAACACAAGACUGAGAAAGUUGGGAAAUGUAAAAAGAAAGGAAAAGAGCACACAUACCUUGAGGUUUUUCACUGGCAUUAUAAGAUUAAUUUGCCACAGAGUAGUUGCAUGUCUGGGUAUGAAAAGGGCCUUCUAGAGAGGCUGAGUUUCUAAGAAGAUAAGCUGGGCGGAGUGAGAGACUGUGAUAAUGCUCCUUUGGCUAAAUGACAUAGUUUCAUCAUCUACAGUAAAUAACAUCAUUAAAAGACUCAGAUAAUCAGGAGAAAUCUUUGUUAAAGAGGGACAGAGCUGAAAAGCAAUACUGGAUUGAAUUCUAAGGCCCUGGGAAGUGUUGCAUUAAGAAUAGACACUACUCUGCAGUGGAAAUCACUGCAUGAGCUCACGUCCACAUUAACAGUUUAUUUAAGCAUGUUUAACAGUACCAUAUAUAAACAGAACCUACAGAAAUGCUGGUGACUUCUCUUGGUACAUUUAAGAUGGACUGGCAUAAACUGGCAAACUCUCCAGAGGUGUGCUGGAUCAAAAUUUGGAUCAUCUGUGCAUCAUCGGUGUCACUCUGAAGACCAAAGGGAACAGCUAAUUUGUUAUAUGAUCACAUUUCAAGAGUCAUAAUCCCUGAUGAUAUGGGGGACGCACCAUUGUGCACCAAGUGCCAUUUUUAUUGUUAGCAUACACACUUGGGAAGACACACUUAUGCAGGGUAACACGCAGGUUUUUAAGCAUCAAAUGCUGCUACCCAGACAAUCCUUCACCUUUUUAGAAAAGAUAUUUCAGCCAGAGAGUGCCAAAACACAUUUACAUGUAACACGACCGCAUGGCUCCAUAGCAGAGGAGUCCAGGUGCCACAUUGAUCGGCCUGCUGACUAAUUAAAAGCAUGUAGAGUAUUGAGUAUCACAAAACAGAAAGAGAAAACAACCAAGAACA